AAGUCGUAACAAGGUUUCCGUAGGUGAACCUGCGGAAGGAUCAUUAAAAGUAAUUGGUUAUACAUAUCCUGUAUCAACUGCACAAACCCAUUCCGAGUACCUUGCCUGUUGCUUCCAUGGGGCCUGACGUUUGGUCAUCUCUUGUGAUGCGAAUCCCAAGAGAGUCCCCAUGGGGGUAGUCAUUGAAUUCAUAGAUACCAUGAUCCAUUCUGCUUGAAUGAAUUGAAAAUAACAAAUGUUAAAA
rnacentral:misc_RNA from 1 species